UCUAUAUCAAUAAAGGCAGCAAUAGCGUGGGUGCCGGGUACAAACCGAAGGCAGGUCUGAGGGUGUUUCUGGGAGCCCAGUGGCUCUGUUCCCACCAGUGCCUGCCGUCCUCAGGCUGGCUUCCACAGCGCCGCCUGCUCCUCAUCCUCAGCCCCGGGCAGGGAACAUUCCUUCCUCCAGUGGCUGGACUCUGGUUGGCUGAAGUCUCAGAGGCCAGGAGAAUGCUGGAGAAGGUGGGAAGGGAGUUGAAGCCGGGUCUGCUUCUGUCACUCAGGCUGGAGUACAGUGGCGUGAAUGUGGCUCACUGCACCCUGACCUCCCGGGCUCAAGUGACUGUCCCCCACCAGCCUCCUGAGUAGCUAGGACUGUAGAGACGGGUUUUCACCAUGUUUCCCAGGCUGAUCUUGAACCUCUGGACUCAAGCGAUCCACCCAUCUUGGCCUCCCAAAGUGCUAGGAUUACUGGUCUGAGACACCACGCCCAGCCUCGUUUUUACUUCUCCCAAUUCUCAAGGAUAGUCUCGACAGGCCUCCGUGUUUCCAUUUGAGCACAGAGACACACUGAGAAAAAUCCAGUGGCUUUUCACACAGAGCAUGGACAAUUAGCCCCUGCUGGGCCGGGUUCGUCAUAGGUAACACUGGGAAAAAUAACAGUAUUUACUCCACAGCACUGAUUUGAGAGCUAAAACCGGAUAAUUUAUGUAUGGCACUUAAACACGGUGUCUAGAAUUCGCGAGGGCUCAGUAAGAAGGAGCCGAUGUUAAUAUUAUUAACACCAUAAUUUAAGAGGAAAAAAUUCAAAGUGUGGUCCAUGCCUGUAUUUCCGUUUUAUGCAGCUAUUAAAAAUGGUAUUUACAUUUUGUGUUUACAAAAUUGUUUAAGGCAUGAGGAAAUUUUUAUGUUGUUACAUUUAAGUUUCCAAAAUCAUAUAUACUUUUUGAUUUCAAUUAUACUUAAAAAAAAAACAGUAACAAAAACUAAGGAGGAAAUAUGACAAAAUAUCAACAGUGGGUGUAUCUGGGUAAUGAGAUUGUGUGUAACUAUUUUCCUACUUCUCUCUCCUUCAAUCUACUUCCCAAGGAGCAGAUAACUGUCUCUAUAAUUAUAAACAUAAUAAAUUGAAAUGUAAGUAAAGGCAGAUAUGCACUAAUUGAGCCUUGUUUUCCCAGAUCGUAGUGGCCCAGCCUGGGCUGCAGGUGAGAAUGCCCCAGGAGCUUGUUCUCACCCAGGUUGGGGCCGCCCCCGACCAGAGUCCUCACCCGCGGGUGCCACCGACGGGCUGAUGAGAAACAGCUGGCAAUUUUUAACCGGAAUCUGAAAGUGGCUCACUGGUGUUAUCAAUACACACAUGGCAUCACUCUUAUUUUAAAGUCACAAGCAGAGUCAGUGCAACUGCAAGAGUAGAGCCGAUUGGCUGAGCGUUUGUAAUCCAAAUUAUCAGGGCCUGGGGAGCAGGGGAGGCUCCCAAUAAGUGCUGAUCUCAGCACUGGGCAGCCCUUUGUCCCCGUUUUGACCUGUUUCGCCAUUUCUUUCAGUUGCCACCCUGGCUGUUUCUAAGAAGCAGGAAUAAGAAAGAGCCUCCGAGGAAACUGAAGAGGCCACAAGUCAAUUCUGUGCCCAGCUCAGACUGUGGCCGAUGCGCAGAGACACGUGGGCUCUUGGAGGGUGGAGACGAGAGCCAGGCAGCCCCACGCUCCGCCCGGCAGAGCCCCCACACUGCGCAUCUACGUUCUCCACAGCAGCCAGCUCCAGGCACAGGGCAUUCCCGCUGCACUUGCUGGGUGAUUGGCUCAGGGCAGUGAUCUCCAUGGGUCCUUUUGAGGAUGAUGCUGAGAAUCUUGGUUUUACAUGUAGGAACACAGCACUGCCAAGGUUGGACGUCACUCUUCCUGACACCUGGGGCAUACAUGAGGAGAGCUUUCAAUGAAGCUUCAGAUGUUUCCAGUGCUUCAGGAGGGGCCCCGAACGUAUGGGUCCUCCACGCUCCCCAGCUCUCAGCACUCGGCUGUGUUGUCAUUCACAGCCCAGCAACUCACCUUACAGAGGUCAGGAGACAGAGGUGACUGUGUAUCUGCUUAUUAAUUCACAGGAAGCCUUGACCCCAUCAGUGCCGAGUCCCAGCAUUUUGUUGAGCCACUUACAUCGAGACAAGACAUUCGUGCUGCAUGAACUCAGCAGUGACUGGCAGAGUCCUGUCAUCAGCAUUCCUCCUGGUGGUGUCCUUUUAAGCGUUAUCUACACGUGAAUAAAUCAUGGAAGCAUG